rnacentral:rRNA from 1 species
CCCUUAGAUGUUCUGGGCCGCACGCGUGCUACACUGAGUGGAUCAGCGGGUCAGGUUGCGCGAAAGCGUUUCCUAAUCUUUAAAUCCGCUCGUGAUGGGGAUUGACGGUUGCAAUUUUCUGUCAUGAACGAGGAAUACCUUGUAAGCGCGGGUCAUCAUCCCGCGCUGAAUACGUCCCUGCCCUUUGUACACACCGCCCGUCGCUCCUACCGAUUGAGUGGUCCGGUGAGGCUUUGGGAUCUGAGCGGAUAGAGCGUUUCGCUGUUUCUGCUCGGAAAACUCAGUCGAACCUUAUCAUUUAGAGGAAGGAGAAGUCGUAACA